rnacentral:rRNA from 1 species
AUUGAACGCUAGCGGGAUGCCUUACACAUGCAAGUCGAACGAGGGGAGAAAGGGUGAGUAAUGUAUCGGAAGGUGGCCAGUAGCGGGGGAUAACUACGCGAAACGUAGCUAAUACCGCAUACUAUUGGAGCGGCCGAUAUCGGAUUAGAUAGUUUGUGGGGUAACGUCUCACCAAGGCGACGAUCCGUAGCGGGUUUUCGAGGACGACCAGCCACUCUGCGACUGCAGCACGGCCCAGACUCCUUCGUGUGGCAGCAGUGGUGAAUUUUGGACAAUUGGGGAAGCCCUGUCCCAGCCAUCCCGCGUGUGCGAUGUGGUCCUUCGGGUUGUCAAGCACUUUUAGCAGGAAAGCGGUACCUGCUGUAUAAGCACCGGCUAACUACGUGCCAGCAGCCGCGGUAAUUC